UACAGAGGGUGCGAGCGUUGUCCGGAAUCACUGGGCGUAAAGGGCGCGUAGGUGGCGACCCAAGUCGAUGGUGAAAGCUCGCCGCUCAACGGCGAGUCGGCCACCGAUACUGGGUUGCUGGAGCACUGUAGAGGCUCAUGGAAUUCCGGGUGUAGCGGUGGAAUGCGUAGAGAUCCGGAAGAACACCGGUGGCGAAGGCGGUGAGCUGGGCAGUUGCUGACACUGGAGGCGCGACAGCGUGGGGAGCAAACAGGG
rnacentral:rRNA from 1 species